rnacentral:SRP_RNA from 1 species
GUUCCGGUCUCGCGCAAUGGAAGCCUGUGAACCAUGUCAGGCGGGGAACCGAGCAGCAUUAAGCGGGACGAUAUGUGCCGCGAGGGCGCCGG